GGGGGUAGACCCGAAACCGCUUGAGCUAUCCAUGGUCAGGCUGAAGCGUCCGUAACAGGACGUGGAGGGCCGCACCGGUGUAGGUUACAAACUGCUCGGAUGAACUGUGGAUAGGGGUGAAAUGCCAAUCGAAAGCGGAGAUAGCUGGUUCUCCCCGAAAUGCAUUGAGGUGCAGCCCGGGCUUUGGCGCUGCUUGAGGUAGAGCACUGUUGUUGUGCGGGGGCUUCACCGCCUACCAAGCGACGGCAAACUCCGAAUGCGUUCAGCGUACCUCCGGAGUGAGACAGUGGGCGCAAACGUUCAUUGUCAAAAGGGAAACAACCCAGACCUGCAGCUAAGGUCCCGAAAUCUCUGCUGAGUGGUAAAGGAUGUGUCGUUGCACAAACAACCAGGAGGUUGGCUUAGAAGCAGCCACCCUUUAAAGAGUGCGUAACAGCUCACUGGUCAAACGCUCUUGCGCGGAAAAUUCAACGGGGCUUAAACACACCACCGAAGCUACGGAUCCGAAAGGAUGGUAGGAGAGCGUUCUGUAGGAGAUACAAGGUAGACCGAAAGGACUGCUGCGGCCUACAGAAGUGAGAAUGCCGGCAUGAGUAGCGCAAAACAUGUGAGAACCAUGUUCCCCGUAAACCUAAGGUUUCCGACGGAAGGCCAGUCCGCGUCGGGUUAGUCGGGCCUUAGCCGAGGCCGCAAGGCGUAGGUGAUGGACAUCCGGUUAAUAUUCCGGAACCACUCAAGUGGAGCGAUGAAGGGACGCGGUGUGGUAGGUCAGCCUCUUACUGGAUUGAGGUGCCAAACGCGUAGGACGUUGAUGGGUGUAGGCAAAUCCGCACCUGGAGUCCGAAACGUGAUGGCGGUGCCUUAGAGCCACAAGUGAUUGAGCCACGCCGCCAAGAAAAGCUUCUAAGCGUCGAGAUUUGAGUGACCGUACCGCAAACCGACACUGGUAGGUGGGUAGAAGAUACCAAGGGGAGCGAGAGAACCCUCGUUAAGGAAUUAGGCAAAUUUCCCCCGUACGUUCGCAAUAAGGGGGGCCUCUGGCGGUGAGCUAUGCAAAGCUGCUGGAGGCCGCAGAGAAAUGGCUCUUCCAACUGUUUAACAAAAACACAGGUCUCUGCUAAGUCGAAAGACGAAGUAUAGGGGCUGACGCCUGCCCAGUGCUGGAAGGUUAAGGGGAGAGGUUAGGCGCAAGCCAAAGCCUUGAGCCGAAGCCCCAGUGAACGGCGGCCGUAACUAUAACGGUCCUAAGGUAGCGAAAUUCCUUGUCGGGUAAGUUCCGACCUGCACGAAUGGCGUAACGACUUGGGCGCUGUCUCAACCACAGACUCGGCGAAAUUGCACUACGAGUAAAGAUGCUCGUUACGCGCGGCAGGACGGAAAGACCCCGGGACCUUUACUAUAGUUUGGUAUUGGUGUUUGGUUCGGCUUGUGUAGGAUAGGUGGGAGACUGUGAAGCGGCCACGCCAGUGGUUGUGGAGUCAUCGUUGAAAUACCACUCUGGUCGUACUAGAUGUCUAACCUAGGACCGUUAUCCGGUUCAGGGACAGUGCCUGAUGGGUAGUUUAACUGGGGCGGUUGCCUCCUAAAAUGUAACGGAGGCGCUCAAAGGUUCCCUCAGCCUGGUUGGCAAUCAGGUGGCGAGUGUAAGUGCACAAGGGAGCUUGACUGUGAGACAGACAUGUCGAGCAGGGACGAAAGUCGGAACUAGUGAUCCGGCCACGGCAUGUGGAAGCGUGGUCGCUCAACGGAUAAAAGGUACCCCGGGGAUAACAGGCUGAUCUUCCCCAAGAGUCCAUAUCGACGGGAUGGUUUGGCACCUCGAUGUCGGCUCGUCGCAUCCUGGGGCUGGAGUCGGUCCCA
rnacentral:rRNA from 1 species